CAACAUACUAAAACUUAUGGGAUUCAGUGAAAACAGUGCUAAGAGAAAAAUUUAUGGCUGUAAAUGCUUGCAUUAAAAAAAAGAAGAAAACUCAAAUCAACAAUCUGCCUUUACAACUUAAGGAGCUGGAAAAAGAAGAACAAACUAAACUCAAAGCUGGCAGAAGGAAGGAAAUAAUAAAGAUUAGAGCAGAGGCAGAGA